CGGGUACGGAGGUAAGUAGCGUGUACCAACCUGCCCCAUGCUCCAGAAUAGCUCUUGGAAACGGGUGGUAAUGCUGGAUGCUCCAACUUGACGCAUGUCUUGUUGGGAAAGUGUUUAGUGGCAUGGGAUGGGGUCGCGUCCUAUCAGCUUGUAGGCGGGGUAAUGGCCCACCUAGGCUUCGACGGGUAGCCGGCCUGAGAGGGCGGACGGCCACAUUGGGACUGAGAUACGGCCCAGACUCCUACGGGAGGCAGCAGUU
rnacentral:rRNA from 1 species